rnacentral:lncRNA from 1 species
CUUGUCUGCUCACCGUGUGUGCAAUACAGAGAUAUAAGCUCCUAGAUAAUUAAACAAGUUCUGUGCACUGCUUUCUCAGGUAUUUAUUUGCUUGCUAGAUCUGUGAUUUGAGUUUCAUCAUGGACGUUUGCAAUCUUGUGUACCGAUGAAACCAAGUCUUAGCAUAAAAGUUCGCCAUUGAGUGCCUGUGGCCGGCUUUGUCGUUUGUAUUGCAGGUAACUAUGCUUUGUGGUUUCUGAGUUCUGAACACAUUAUCCUCCACCAGGCUCGUUGCUGGCGGUGGUUCUGGAGACAACGGUUCGAUCCAUCUGUAGGACGUCACUCGGCAAGAAGUUGUGGAGUGUGAUGGUCAUCCACGCGGCGCGCGUAUCCAGUCACGUUGUCCAGAAACGAUCACAUUAUCUCCAGGUCACUCCGUGACUUGCCGGCGCUCGAGCUGACGGUGUCGCCCGAACGAAGGCUUCACGGCGACAAGUGCUGCCACCGCCUAAGACCAUCCGACUCCGAAAUGCUGAUUGCCGGGCACGAACAAGAGGCUACAGGCAUUUGGGUGCAACACCUGCUCCGAGUGCCCUGUUCUGAGGCGUCAUCCGAAGAAGGCCGCAUAGUGCACUUAAGGCUGUGUUCGGGUGUUAGUGCACUGCACUGUCGGAUAUGAUCAAAUGGCAGGCCCGUCAUAAGAUCUCAGUACGAAAUUAAGAUAGUCAGAGCCGACGUGAUCGGUGGAUAGUGUGCCAGGGUUGAUUGAGCGUCCAUGGGCGUGAGACACCUGGAUCUGUGAAGGAUACGCCGAUACGUGUCCCGGAUUCGACAUCCCUCCCCCUCCGUCUCAACGGUGUUGGCUGAGAUUGGGGUAUUUUUACGGACUCGCCAAUGUCCUGUAAUUUCUGUUAUGUAAUUUGACGAUCAUGCCGUGGUCUCAUUCUGUCUCGAUAUGCUAAUAAAUGAUAAAUGUAACAGAGGCUGGAAGUAAGGUGUGAGUGGCUGUAACCGGCAGGUUUUGGCGAGCGUGAUAUUUGUAUCGUGAGGGCGCUAGCUGCAAUCAAUCGCGCGUUUUUGCUGAGCAUCCGUGAGCGAGAAAAUGCCUUCUCUGGAACCUAGCAGUACAGCGUGAAAUCUGUGUAUCUUUGGAUUAUGCUAGCAUAACGUAAUGUAUUUUUGGUGUCCACUGCAGCUUCGGAACAGAAAUAUGGAGAUUGGCUGUUUGCUGAAGCAAGGGUAAGCAAUCCGUGCCAAGAAUAAAAAACUAUGUGA